rnacentral:rRNA from 1 species
UACGAAGGGGCUAGCGUUGCUCGGAAUCACUGGGCGUAAAGGGUGCGUAGGCGGGUCUUUAAGUCAGGGUGAAUCCUGGAGCUCAACUCCAGAACUGCCUUUGAUACUGAAGAUCUUGAGUUCGGGAGAGGUGAGUGGAACUGCGAGUGUAGAGGUGAAAUUCGUAGAUAUUCGGAAGAACACCAGUGGCGAAGGCGGCUCACUGGCCCGGUACUGACGCUGAGAUGCGAAAGCGUGGGGAGCAAACAGGG